CACCAUCAAAAUCACUGUCUUCUUCUUUUCUCCAUUUUCAUGGUCACAAAGAAAGUGCAAUAACUAGAGCAGCAACUCCAAACAAACCAGCAUUUUGCAAGGUGGCCGCUUUGGAGUUAUCAGCUGGGGUAACAUCGGGGCUAUCAGCAACAGUGGUAGCCUUCUUAUUCUUCGACUUUGCCGGUGCCGGUGCGGGAGCUGGAGGCCUAGGUGCAAAUAUUUGCAAUGGUUGAAGAACUUGAUCGAUUUGAUAAACAGCAAGCUGACCAUCAGUGUAAAUAGUGCCGGAAACACUGGUGUUUGUCAACCCUGUUGUUAUAUUCACAGAGUUCCCCGAAGUGGUGACAUUGAGAGGGAACUUGCCAUCGCCACUAUCACCAGCUUGGGUUCUCAAAGGGUUGCUAAUGGUUUGGAACUGAGACGAGGUGAGGUAUGUUGGGACGAUGUGGAAUUGCACCAGCUGCACUUUUUGUUCAUCGGUGAGUGAAUUCAAUGUGCCCGAUUUAAGGCUGGAGAAAGCAUUGUCCGUUGGUGCAAAAACGGUCAUACCAUUGUUGGAAUUGUUGAGCUGACCGAGCAGCUGGUUGGCCACUUGAGUGGACUUUAGAAGACGAAUGAAGAGGGUGAAUUGACCAGCUUUUUCGAGGAUCUUGGUGACGUUUGUCGGACCAGAAGGUGCCGGGGCCAGUGCCGGAGAUUGGGCUAAUGUUGUUGAACAACUGAGGGAAAACAGGAUGAGCAACGUGAGAGUAGUGAAGACAUAUUGUUGCCUCAUUGUGGGUUGUAUUGGAAG
rnacentral:lncRNA from 1 species